rnacentral:rRNA from 1 species
GCGGUCAAGGAUGGGCUCGCGGCCUAUCAGCUAGUUGGUGAGGUAACGGCUCACCAAGGCUUCGACGGGUAGCCGGCCUGAGAGGGCGACCGGCCACACUGGGACUGAGAUACGGCCCAG